AACCCAGUAGCUCAGUUGGUAAGAGGCCUGACAUCUCCCAAGGUUGUCAGUGUCUCAGCAGACCUAGGUUCGAUUCCUAGGGGGGUUC